GUCGGCUCGUCAUAUGCGCGCGCAUAUAAUUUUACCCCCGUUUCUGCCUGGCCCGGCCGCCAUGUCUGGUUCCCUCUUCUCGAUCUUACCUUCAGCCCCGUGACCAACAUUGACAUAGGAAUAUAUGGACAGAGCCUUUUACGAGGGGAAGCUGAGAUUAGCGGUAAGAGGAAAGCACUGGCACUUCGUGUAACUUCGGCUGUUCGGAUGUAACAUUGUCACCUACUGAAGAGGACCACAUCCCGUAUGGUCGAAACCACAGUUUAACUAUAACCAGUUACGACAGUAACGUUGGAACCUUUGAUCUUUGUGUUACCCAGUCACAUGACCAUUCGCCAUGUUUUCGAUAGUAGGAAACCGCCAAAUUCAAAGUAUUGAAAUGAGUUACGGAAGACAUAGUUCAAAAGUUUCUAACUAUGUAGAUUUUUAAUUGACAAAGUUGAUAAUACAUAAUAAAAUAGGUACCUAGGUAUAGUAAUAUAUAAAAAAAGUCACGGAAAACGUUUAGAAAAAGUAACUAAUAAAUGAGGUUAACAAAUAUAAUAUAAAUCAACACAUUUUGGGUUGUAAAAACAUUUCUAUUUCAAACUUUCAAUAUAUGAUUAGUUAACAGUUGUGACGGAUAAAGUAUUAAACAUAUAUUUCCAAUGUUAACAAUGAAAUAUACAAUUGUAAGAAAUGAACAAUAUAAUUGAUAGAUGAACAAUUAUUGUUAAAUCGAAAAAUGAAUAAUGUACUUUACAAAACUAAAGUAGACAUAGAAGUAUUGUAAUAUCUACAAAUGACGAGAACGUUGGCCUUGAUCAAAUUGUCCACUUGAUCUGAGGCUGCUUGAUUGUUUUCCUGCCAUGAUAUUUCCUCUUGAUGGUACUCGAUGAUAAAGCAAUUGUUAUUGUUAUUCUGCAAAGGAGGGGAAGGAAAUAUAAUCUUAACAUCAGAUCAAUGUAUAAAAACAACAUUAAUUUUAUAUUUUAAUAUAUAUUUAAUACUACAAAUUGGCACUUGCAUUGUUAACCGCUGCUUAUAAUGUAUAGGUCGCAAAAUUGAAUUAUUUUAUCUAGAAAAUGACGUAUUGCCAUGAAAUAAUUAAAUUAUACAUCUAAAAUAACCGAUGUAACACAUCUAAAA